UACGGAGGGAGCUAGCGUUGUUCGGAAUUACUGGGCGUAAAGCGCACGUAGGCGGCGAUUUAAGUCAGAGGUGAAAGCCCGGGGCUCAACCCCGGAACUGCCUUUGAGACUGGAUUGCUUGAAUCCUGGAGAAGUGAGUGGAAUUCCGAGUGUAGAGGUGAAAUUCGUAGAUAUUCGGAAGAACACCAGUGGCGAAGGCGGCUCACUGGACAGGUAUUGACGCUGAGGUGCGAAAGCGUGGGGAGCAAACAGG
rnacentral:misc_RNA from 1 species